rnacentral:lncRNA from 1 species
GUGAAUUUGCUAAUGAUUUCGUCCCCGGGGACAACCCCCAAUAUCUAAGACUCCCUAUAGAGUGGCACCACUCAAGUUUGUGGAAUUGAAGAAGCAACUACAAGAACUAUUGGAUCAGAGUUUUAUUCUUACUAAUGUCUCAUCAUGGGGUGCUACGAUGUUGAUAGUUAAAAAAAAGGAUGAACCAUUGAGGUCUUGUAUCGAUUAUAGAUAGUUGAAUCCGGUGCACAUUAAGAAUAAGUAUCCUCUGCCUAAAGUUUAUGAUUGAUUCGAUCGAUUGUAUGGUGCACAAGUCUUUUCGAAGAUUGAUAUGAGUUUUGGUUACUAUCAAUUGAAGACUAAGAAAGAGGAUGCCUCAGAUAUAGCUUUUAGAACUUGAUAUAGUCGGUGCGAAUUCUUAAUAAUGCCAUUCGGCUUGACAAAUGCCCAUGAUGCUUUUAUGUAUCUAAUGGAUAGGAUAUUUCAGCCACACUUGGAUCACUUUAUAAUUGCAUUCGUUAAUGAUAUAUUACUAUAUGCGAGGGGUAAACUGGUGCAUAACGAACACUUGAGAAAUGUAUAGUCAAUACUAAGAGAAAAAAAGUUGUACAAAAAGUCCAUCAAUUGUGAAUUUUUUGUUUAACGAAGUUGUCUUCUUAGGCCUUGUGAUUUCAACGAAAUGCAUCUCUAUUGAUCCAAAGAAAGUUAAAGUGGUAGUUAAAUGCAAAAUAUCAAUGACAAUGAUAAAACACAGAAGUUUCUUGGACGUGGCAGGUUAUUACAUGAGAUUUGCGGAGGGAUUCUAUCGAAUUGCUAGUCCUCUCGUCAACCUAACCCAAAGGAAUGUGACAUUUGAAUUGAGUGAAGAUUUUGCACGAAAUUUUAAAGAGAUACAAAUAAGAUUGUCUAGUGCCCCUAUUAUCUUUAUUUCAAAUGGUGGCGAGGGAUUUGUAGUUUAUACAGAUGUUUCGAGAAAGGAACCUUGAUUGUAAUUUGGCUAGAUUCUCCAUCUUAACGGUAUUAGGGCAUUAGGCUUGAUUCUGGGCAUUAGGCUUCCUUUUUAUUUUAAUGGUAUUCGGUAUGAUUCACCUCUUUGCCUUAUAUCGCUACUUCAUGCUCUUCGACUUAUAUAAAAGGGCUGUUGUUGCUAUCUUUCAUUUGUAAUGGAGUAUUUAGAUCAAGAAACUAAUUUAAAUGAAACUAUUGUGUUAAUAGAGUUCCCUAUUGUAUUCUUGGAUGACUUGUUCGGAUUAACUCCAAAUGGAGUUGGUGAAUUUGCUAAUGAUUUCGUCCCCGGGGACAACCCCCAAUAUCUAAGACUCCAUAUAGAGUGGCACCACUCAAGUUUGUGGAAUUGAAGAAGCAACUACAAGAACUAUUGGAUAAGAGUUUCAUUCGGUCUAAUGUCUCAUCAUGGGGUGCUACGAUGUUGUUAGUUAAGAAAAAGGAUGAACCAUUGAGGUCUUGUAUCGAUUAUAGAUAGUUGAAUCCGGUGCACAUUAAGAAUAAGUAUCCUCUGCCCAAAGUUUAUGAUUUAUUCGAUCGAUUGUAUGGUGCACAAGUCUUUUCGAAGAUUGAUACGAGGUUUGGUUACUAUCAAUUGAAGACUAAGAAAGAGGAUACCUUAGAUAUAGCUUUUAGAAGUUGAUAUGGUCGGUGAGAAUUCUUAAUAAUGCCAUUCGGCUUGACAAAUGCCCAUGCUGCUUUUAUGUAUCUAAUGGAUAGGAUAUUUCAGCCACUCUUGGAUCACUGUAUAAUUGCAUUCGUUGAUGAUAUAUUACUGUAUGCGAGGGGUAAACGGGUGCAUAAAGAACACUUGAGAAAUGUAUUGUCAAUACUAAGAGAAAAAAAGUUGUACAAAAAGUCCAUCAAUUGUGAAUUUUUUGUUGAACGAAGUUGUCUUCUUAGGCCUUGUGAUUUCAACGAAAUGCAUCUCUAUUCAUCCAAAGAAAGUUGAAGUGGUAGUUAAAUGCGAAAUAUCAAUGACAAGGAUAAAACACAGAAGUUUCUUGGACGUGGCAGGUUAUUACACGAGAUUUGCGGAGGGAUUCUAUCGGAUUGCUAGUCCUCUCGUCCACCUAACCCAAAGGAAUGUGACAUUUGAAUUGAUUUAAGAUUUUGAGCGAAAUUUUCAAGAGUACAAAAGAAGAUUGUCUAGUGUCCCUAUUAUCUUUAUUUCAAAUGGUGGCGAGGGAUUUGUAGUUUAUACAGAUGUUUCGAGAAAGGAACCUUGAUUGUAAUUUGAUGAAAGAUGGGAAAGUGAUUGUUUAUACUUCUAGGCAACUGAAUAGUUAUGAAUAAAAUUAUACCACUCAUGAUUUGAAAUUCGUUGCAAUUACUUUUGCUAUAAAGAUUUAGAGAUAUUAUUUACAUGGGCGAACAUUUAAAAUCUUUACUGACCACAAGAGUAUAAAGUAUAUUUUUACCUAGAAAGAGUCAAAUAUGAUAUCACGGAGAUAUAUAGAAAUUUUGAAGGAUUAUGAUUGUCCCAUUAGUUCUCGCCUAGGUAAAGCCAAUGUUGUCGUUUAUACAGGUUGUAGGAAAUGUACCAGUUUUUUGGCUAAUCUAAUGGUGAAGCAACGGAGGUCAUUGGAAAAAAAUUAUGACCUGCACAUUUUGAGGAUAGUGCGAGACUCGAUGAUUUUGAUAGCCUCUAUCCAGGUUCUAUCUGAUCUCAUUCGAUAAAUUAAAGAAUGACAAUUACAAGAUCCACGUUUAUUCUACUUUUGCAAUGAAGUAGAAAAUUGAUUGAAAUCAGAUUUUUGAGUUUUCGAGGAUAUCCUAUUGAGAUUUUGGGAUA